UCCGAAUUGGUGUAGUGGCUAACAUCGCUGUCUCUCAUUGGUAUUUUCCAAUCAGUACACAGCAGCCAGGGGUUCGAUUCCCCUAUUCGGAA